rnacentral:rRNA from 1 species
AGAGUUUGAUCCUGGCUCAGAACGAACGCUGGCGGCGUGCCUAACACAUGCAAGUCGUACGAGAAGAUCCGCUUCGGCGGGUGAGUAAAGUGGCGCACGGGUGAGUAACGCGUGGAUAAUCUGCCUUUAAGCGGGGAAUAACUUACCGAAAGGUGGGCUAAUACCCCAUAAAGCUAUGGAACUCCGGUUUUCAUAGCCAAAGAGAGCCUCUGCAUGCAAGCCCUCACUUAGAGAUGAGUCCGCGUACCAUUAGCUAGUUGGUGGGGUAAUGGCCUACCAAGGCGACGAUGGUUAGCUGGUCUGAGAGGGUGGACGGCCACGCUGGAACUGAGACACGGUCCAGACUCCUACGGGAGGCAGCAGUGGGGAAUCUUCCGCAAUGGGCGAAAGCCUGACGGAGCAACGCCGCGUGAGUGAUUAAGGCCUUCGGGUUGUAAAACUCUGUCAUCAGGGAAGAAAAUAAUGACGGUACCUGAGGAGGAAGCCCCGGCUAACUACGUGCCAGCAGCCGCGGUAAAACGUAGGGGGCGAGCGUUGUCCGGAAUUACUGGGCGUAAAGGGCGCGUAGGCGGUUGUCCAAGUCAGAGGUGAAAACUCUGGGCUCAACUCAGAGCGUGCCUCUGAAACUGGGCGACUUGAGGGCAGGAGAGGGGAGUGGAAUUCCCAGUGUAGCGGUGAAAUGCGUAGAUAUUGGGAGGAACACCAGUGGCGAAGGCGACUCUCUGGCCUGUUUCUGACGCUGAGGCGCGAAAGCGUGGGGAGCGAACGGGAUUAGAUACCCCGGUAGUCCACGCCGUAAACGAUGGGUGCUAGGUGUAGGAGGUAUCGACCCCUUCUGUGCCGUAGCUAACGCAAUAAGCACCCCGCCUGGGGAGUACGGCCGCAAGGUUGAAACUCAAAGGAAUUGACGGGGGCCCGCACAAGCGGUGGAGCAUGUGGUUUAAUUCGACGCAACGCGAAGAACCUUACCAGGGUUUGACAUCCCCUGACAGCUAUUGAAAGGUAGAAUUCUAUCUACGGAUAGACAGGGAGACAGGUGGUGCAUGGUUGUCGUCAGCUCGUGUCGUGAGAUGUUGGGUUAAGUCCCGCAACGAGCGCAACCCCUACGUUUAGUUGCUAACGUGUGAAGGCGAGCACUCUAGACGAACUGCCGUUGACAAAACGGAGGAAGGUGGGGAUGACGUCAAAUCAUCAUGCCCCUUAUAUUCUGGGCCACACACGUGCUACAAUGGCCGGUACAGAUGGAAGCGAAGCCGCGAGGUGAAGCAAAUCCCAAAAAGCCGGUCUCAGUUCGGAUUGCAGGCUGCAACCCGCCUGCAUGAAGUCGGAAUCGCUAGUAAUCGCAGGUCAGCAUACUGCGGUGAAUACGUUCCCGGGCCUUGCACACACCGCCCGUCA